rnacentral:rRNA from 1 species
GUGGUAUGAGAUGGACCCCGCGUCUGAUUAGCCAGUUGGCAGGGUAACGGCCUACCAAAGCGACGAUCAGUAGCCGACCUGAGAGGGUGACCGGCCACAUUGGGACUGAGACAUGGCCCAAACUCCUACGGGAGGCAGCAGUGGGGAAUAUUGCACAAUGGGGGAAACCCUGAUGCAGCGACGCCGCGUGAGCGAAGAAGUAUUUCGGUAUGUAAAGCUCUAUCAGCAGGGAAGAAGAUGACGGUACCUGACUAAGAAGCACCGGCUAAAUACGUGCCAGCAGCCGCGGUAAUACGUAUGGUGCAAGCGUUAUCCGGAUUUACUGGGUGUAAAGGGAGCGCAGGCGGUGCGGCAAGUCUGAUGUGAAAGCCCGGGGCUCAACCCCGGUACUGCAUUGGAAACUGUCGUACUAGAGUGUCGGAGGGGUAAGUGGAAUUCCCAGUGUAGCGGUGAAAUGCGUAGAUAUUAGGAGGAACACCAGUGGCGAAGGCGGCUUACUGGACGAUAACUGACGCUGAGGCUCGAAAGCGUGGGGAGCAAACAAAAUUAGAUACCCUGGUAGUCCACGCCGUAAACGAGGAAUACUAGGUGUCGGGGAGCAUUGCUCUUCGGUGCCGCAGCAAACGCAAUAAGUAUUCCACCUGGGGAGUACGUUCGCAAGAAUGAAACUCAAAGGAAUUGACGGGGACCCGCACAAGCGGUGGAGCAUGUGGUUUAAUUUGAAGCAACGCGAAGAACCUUACCAAGUCUUGACAUCCCGAUGACAAAGUAUGUAAUGUACUUUCUCUUCGGAGCAUCGGUGACAGGUGGUGCAUGGUUGUCGUCAGCUCGUGUCGUGAGAUGUUGGGUUAAGUCCCGCAACGAGCGCAACCCCUGCUCUUAGUAGCCAGCGGUUCGGCCGGGCACUCUAGGGAGACUGCCAGGGAUAACCUGGAGGAAGGCGGGGAUGACGUCAAAUCAUCAUGCCCCCUAUGACUUGGGCUACACACGUGCUACAAUGGCGUAAACAAAGGGAAGCGGAGCCGUGAGGCCGAGCAAAUCUCAAAAAUAACGUCUCAGUUCGGACUGUAGUCUGCAACCCGACUACACGAAGCUGGAAUCGCUAGUAAUCGCAGAUCAGAAUGCUGCGGUGAAUAAAAUCCCGGGUCUUGCACU